rnacentral:tRNA from 1 species
GAGGGUAGAGCUCAGUGGUAGAGCUCAUGCUUAGCAUGCACGAGGUCCUGGGUUCAAUCCCCAGUACCUCCA